rnacentral:rRNA from 1 species
UGGAUCCAGACUUUGAUUCUGGCUCAGGAUGAACGCUAGCUACAGGCUUAACACAUGCAAGUCGAGGGGAAACGAUAGAGAAAGCUUGCUUUUUCUAGGUGUCGACCGGCGCACGGGUGAGUAACGCGUAUCCAACCUGCCCAUCACUUGGGGAUAACCUUGCGAAAGUAAGACUAAUACCCAAUGAUAUCUCUAGAAGACAUCUGAAAGAGAUUAAAGAUUCAUCGGUGAUGGAUGGGGAUGCGUCUGAUUAGCUUGUUGGCGGGGUAACGGCCCACCAAGGCGACGAUCAGUAGGGGUUCUGAGAGGAAGGUCCCCCACAUUGGAACUGAGACACGGUCCAAACUCCUACGGGAGGCAGCAGUGAGGAAUAUUGGUCAAUGGACGAGAGUCUGAACCAGCCAAGUAGCGUGCAGGAUGACGGCCCUAUGGGUUGUAAACUGCUUUUAUAAGGGAAUAAAGUGAGCCUCGUGAGGCUUUUUGCAUGUACCUUAUGAAUAAGGACCGGCUAAUUCCGUGCCAGCAGCCGCGGUAAUACGGAAGGUCCGGGCGUUAUCCGGAUUUAUUGGGUUUAAAGGGAGCGUAGGCCGGAGAUUAAGCGUGUUGUGAAAUGUAGACGCUCAACGUCUGCACUGCAGCGCGAACUGGUUUCCUUGAGUACGCACAAAGUGGGCGGAAUUCGUGGUGUAGCGGUGAAAUGCUUAGAUAUCACGAAGAACUCCGAUUGCGAAGGCAGCUCACUGGAGCGCAACUGACGCUGAAGCUCGAAAGUGCGGGUAUCGAACAGGAUUAGAUACCCUGGUAGUCCGCACGGUAAACGAUGGAUGCCCGCUGUUGGUCUGAAUAGGUCAGCGGCCAAGCGAAAGCAUUAAGCAUCCCACCUGGGGAGUACGCCGGCAACGGUGCAAACUCAAAAGGAAAUUGAC